rnacentral:lncRNA from 1 species
UGAAUUAUUAAUAAUAAAUACUUAAUUUUUUUCUUCUCUCACUCAUCUUUUUUGCUGAGCCAAAAGAACCUGUGUACUAAUGAAGGACUGGUUCAGGAGCUUUGCAAGAUUUCGUAUUAAUCUUUGAUCGAAAUUACAAAUAAAAACGUAGAACAGUUGUGAUCAACAAAAAGCAGCAAUCUAAGCCAUUGCAUACAUACAAAAAGAAGAGGAAGAAGAAAACAGCAAUCAAGUCUAUUAUCUAUGAAAAUCUCCCAACUUAAAGAAUCCCGUAAAUAUUUGACCCACCAAAAACACCCAGAGAUCCAGCGUUUAAGGUUUAGAAAAAAUCGAUGCCAGUGCUUACCAAUUUCCAGCAACAAUGCUGCCCGCCACAUCUCCAUCAGGAACCACAAGACAUGAAAGUGCAUCUGACGUGUAAGAAUCAGAGCCGCCGGUAUUUCCAACUAGUAUCCAUGUAUGAUCUUAGAGCACUUGUUCUUGAUCCAGCAGAUCCCUCUCCUCAAAGAAGCCUUGACUUUACCUUCCACCGUGUAAACCUUGUACUUGGCAAUCCGUUUCUUUCUUUUCAUUUCAGGAUCAGUCAACCCCCCCCAGGGCUUUGACGAACUGCUCAGACUCCGCCGAGGCGGAAUCGAUGCCACAUUGGGUGAGUGUGGCCGAGUCGCGAAGAUCUGGUUGCUAUUGCCAAACCCAAAACCCUUCCCGCUCACAAUCUCCAGCCUUCUGUCACCCCUUUGACCCGACCCGUACCCGUACCCGUCCAUGUUCACUAAUUGGAGAGCUUUGAUUGCACAGAAGAGAAGAGAGAUAGACGAUAGCUAGGGUUUUUGUUUAUACUUGGGGCAAGGAAACUGAAGAUGUGAGAUGAAAGCGGUAAAUAACUGGAGUCACUGAAUAGAAUAGACUCUGAUUCUAAAGCAGAGGGAGCAGAGGGAGCAGAACACCUCUAUUUAAUGGAGGCUUUUUUGCCCAUUUUGUUAUGUGUAGCCUUUUAGGGUUGAAAUAUUCUCAACUUUCUUACUCAUACAUAAAGGAGAAAGAAAGGGAGGAGAAUAUGUUAGAGAGAUCAAAUCAUAAGUACGCUUUCCUUUAAUUUUUCGAUUCUUUAAUCACUGUUGAGCUGUAAGGUUACGUUUUCGGGCAGUGGACUACCUCGGAAUUGCCGAUCUUUGAUUGCAGGAAAGGUGAAGUCACGAAACCUCCUGUCUUCCUCCUAACCUUUCCUCUGAUUCUGAUGCAUAUUAUAUUCUAGCGUAAUUAAAUUAUUAGUUAUUAACUUCACUCCGAGAGAGAAAUUGUCUGCCAUGAAGACCAACUGGCCACAAGGUAUCCGGAUUCUACGGGAAAACAGUUUUCCUUGCAACAAUCUGAGCUUUUAAAUAACUAUAAUAAUAGUAAUU